GUCUACAGCCAUACCAUCCCGAAUGCUCCAAUCUUGUCUGAUCUCAGAAGUGGGUCUGGUUAGUACUUGGAUAGAAGACUACCUGGGAAUACUUUAAAAA
rnacentral:rRNA from 1 species